rnacentral:lncRNA from 1 species
UAUGCAGAAGUUCAACGAAGUUGCUGAAUCUGAAGUAGAGAAAGAAGAGAGCAAAGAUGCCUCUGACACCGCUGGUCUUCUCGAGAAGCUAACCGUCGAAGAGACAAAAACAGAGGAGAAACCUGUGGAGAAGGAGAAGACUGAAGUGGAAGCAGAUGAAAAGAAAAAAGACGAGCCAGAGAAAGCGGGUGAAGAAAAGAAAACCGAGGAGGCUAGUCCCUCAACUUAAGUUGCAUCAAAGUUUACGCUCCCCAGAUCUUGGCGAGACAUUAUAGCCUAUAAGUGUUAGAUGCAUCUCUCUCGAGUCUACCAUUGUCUGGGCACUAUCUAUCUACACAUGUUUUGUCCAGUCAUAUCGCUUGUGGUCGGGUUUUGCAGUGUCGUUUUUGGGUCUUUAGUUUUUGAGUCUGAAAGAGUCGGUCGAAUGAUAUGAGAGAUUCAGGGGAGAGGUUUACUUAUAUAAGUACAUUGGAUUUAAUUGUUUUAUGAUUUUUUUUUGCAUGGUCUUAUUAUAUGGGGGAUAGAGAUGAUAUUCGUUCACAAACCAAGUUUUCUAAUAUGUUUUUUUUCUGACAAGUAAAAUUCCAUUCAGAAAUCGAAUUAAAGCCACAUGCUUUAUUAUGCUCUAUACCCAAAAGGGUUACUCAAACUGUUCACACGGAAUCAACAAGACAACAAACCACCAUGUACUAAAUUGGGUUUGGUGAAUCAGCAUACAUUUUGGCUAUGAUACAAAAUACUAGGCGGGCAUAAUAUCCGUAACCUGAAAUCCGAACUGAACCCGAACCGAAAAACCUGAUCCGUAUCCAGUCCGAAAUGUAAAAAAUAUUCGAAUAAAUCUUGUAAGGUGGUACAAAACAUAUCCGAACCCGAAGUGUUAUUAACCGAACCCGAACGGGUAACCCGAAAAACCGAAAAAAUCAAAAAAUCCGAAAAGAUAUCCGAAGAAACCGAUCUGAAUGUCCAAAAUAAUAUACAAUAUAAUUAUAUAAAACAUGAAUAUAUACUUCAAAUAUUCAAUUUCAUAUUUAUUUUGAUAUGUUAUCUAACAAUAAUUAUUUAAAAAUUUAAAUAACUACCUUAAAUACUUAAUUAUAUAUUUCUUAUGUUUUAUUUUUAAAUUUUAGAUUUUAUUUCGGGUCUAUCCGAACCGAUCCGAUAUAACCCGAAUCCGAAUGAUAUAUGAUUACUUUAUGGGUUCUAUGAUGUGAUACAAAACCGAGUCGAACCCGAUGUGUUAUAUCCGAACCCGAUCCGUACUUGCAAAUUAACUAGAAUGAGACCUAAGAGGUGUUAUAAAAAAGAACCGAAAUCUGGAAAACCCGAUCCGAACGCCAACGGGUACCCGAACGCCAAAACGCCAACGGGUACCCGAACGCCCAGCCCUACAAAAUACCAAAAACUAAUUAGAUGGCUAAGAUAUGUCAACACUAGUUAAAGUGGUUAACACAUCAUCACUUGAAUUAUUUAUUUAUGGCGUUUAAUACUCAAGUAUAAAUAUCUAUUAGACUUUUCCAAGUCAAACAGUCAACCACUUGUGCCGCUUUUAAUCCUCAGACCGCUUUCAUAUUUGUUUUAUUUUUAAAUAAAGUUCUUAUAUAAUAAAUAAGGUCAGUUAUAAAUAUGGUGCGGAAUUAGUUAUAAAUAUGAUUAGGUACAAAUAUGGCAAGCGAAUUAAUUAAGGAUAAAAAAUAUUUUAAAAAUAAUAGGUUAUAAAUAUAGUAAGCGAAUUAAUUAAGAAAUUCAAGUUAGAUAAUGAAAUUCUAUUGUAAAUAAUUCUAAAAAUUAUAGGUAGAAUCACAGUAGAGAUUCUGUUUUAAUAGUUUAAAUAUUGAAUUUAUUUAUAUGCAUAACAAACGGGAAAAUAAUGUGAGUACUACACAUAAAACUAAACAAAAAACACGAUGAUGGGCUUGAGAAGAACACCGUUGGUUUUAUACAUUCUCUUCAUCUUUCAUCUUCAUCACGAUUUCACUUCCGUUAGCUCACGGUCUUACUCACUUGAUACGAACAAAGAGAGUCUUCAUGUAAAUGAGUCAAAACCAGUUGUUGAUGUGUUUGAAGGAAAGGCUCGAGAGUUAGCUUUCGUUAUCAAAAGAAGAGGCAUUGGAGGAGCUGGUGGAGGCGGCGGUAGCACCACGAGUGGAGGAGAUGGGGGCAGCAGUGGUAGCAGCACGAGUGGAGGAGGUGGUGGCGGCCAUAGCAGCGUGGAAGGAGGAGGUGUAAGCGGUCAAAGCUGGUCAAACGGCGGAGGACGUUUUGGUUCGAGUUAUGCUGGUCGUAACGGUACUCGUGGAUUGCAUCGUUCAAGCGGCAGACAGAAUAUUCGAGGGGCAGUAUGUGCGGCCGGUUGGUUGGGUUUAUCAAUUUUAGUCGGUUUAAUAUUGGCUUAGAAAGAUUUAUGUAUUGGUUCACCAUUUUAAUUUGGGGUGCAUAUGUGUUGAAGUCCGGUCUGGUUUGGUCUGAGAUUGAUUGGGGCUAAUGGUCAGUUGUUGUGUUUCGGUUGUUUACUAUGCUGUAUGCACGGUUUGUACAUUGUAAAUUAUAUUCAGUUAGUAUAUUUGUGAAAUUUCGUAAAGCUGAAAUUAAACAUUCUGAACACUAAGGCUUUGACUAUAUCAUAUGUCACAUUUAUAGUAAAUAAUCAAGGAGAAAAAUUACAUACACAAAUUUACUAUAUCUCAAACCAUAGUAAAUAUAAUUAUCCUCUCUCCCAUUUUUAUUUUCCUUUAGUUUGCGAUUAUAUAUUAAUUAAAAAUUCCACCAUACAUGUCACAUGUUUAUAGAUUUCCAAUGUAUUUGUAAAAAAUGUUUUUAAGAUAAGGAUCAUUUAAGUUUCUAUGUAAAGAGUAAAAAGAAAAAUAUAUUAAACAAAGGUAAGUGAUAUGGAGAGUGUUGUAAUGUGUGAUGUGUCCUAAUAUAUUUUGUCCUAAUAUAUAAUGUAAUUAAUCAAACUAUACACUAUGACAAUUUUUGUCCUAAUAUACUUCAAAAUAUAUAAACACUGUCGUGCCAAGGAGUCAAACUUUUCUCAUCUCAUUUUUCUUCUCUCCUAUCUAAAUUUUAUUUGCAGUCGACAGACAAAAUAUUACACCCACAAAUUUAACUUUUAUUUAAAAAAAAAAUAGCGUCACUUAUAAACUUUAUACUAUGGUUUAGGAGCAGGUUCUUAAUGAGACACUGAAACUACGACGAAACGGCAACCACUUCUCACGCGUCCUCCUUUUUUUUUUUUUGUAAUACUCCUAGUACAUAGAGUAAAGAAUGUAAGCCAAUUUAUAUAAAUAGAAAGCAAAAGGGAAAAUGCUAGAAGACACAGAAACCAAACAACACCAACAAAAAAUGGCUUUCAGAAGAACAUCUUUGGUUUUGUAUACUCUCUUCAUCUUUUAUCUUCAACACAAUUUGCUUUCCGUGAGCUCACGACCUCACUCAGCUGAUACGAACCACGAGACUCUUCCUUUUUAUCCCUCAGAGACGGAUGUUGUUGGGUUUGAAGGAAAGACUCGUGAGUUAGCUGUUGUUAUCAAAAAAUCAUUUGGUGGAGGACGUGGCGGCGGCAGUGGCAGCAGGGGAGGAGGAGUUGGAGGUCGAAGCCGAUCACGUGGCGGGGCAGGUGUGAUUUAUCCGGCCAGAUCGCAUUUUCAUCGUUCAAGCGGUAGCAUGAACCUUCGAGGGGCAGUGUGUGCGGUCGGCUGGUUGUGUUUAUCGGUGUUAGCCGGUUUAUUCUUGAUUUAGUCUGAACUUGAUAUAUGUACGUAGGUCUAGAUGGAACUAUGGCGUAUGUAAAGUGUCGAUCAUAUUCACUUAGAAGAAGUGUUUUCACCAGUUGCUCACCCCACAAGAACAAUACAUAUUUAUUUAAAUUUGUAAAGCAAACGUUCCUAUGAUAGCAUCGUCCACUAUUUUUUUUAUAUAUAAUACUACCAUUUAGUGGGAAUUUUUGUUUGUUUUAAUUCCGUUUGGUUAAUAAUUACUAAGAUAUAUAUACAAGCAUAAUCUCAUAAGCCAUUGCAAAAACAUUAUCGCUUAGCUCCUUGGAAUCUAUAUCAAAAUAUGAAAAGUCAUGGCCCAACUGGUGGAUUAACUUUAUCCGUGGACCAUGUGAUGAUGAGUGAUGCCAAGACUCGAGAUAAAGACAAGACUCAAUCUCCACCAAAAAACUGAUCAACUAUGGCCACUUGGAACUAUACUAAAUGAGACAUGCACCACACACAUUCGAGAAAUGACCAGUACCCACUUAUAACAUUUUAAGCAAAACAGACACCAUACUUUAAAGUUUAUUCAAGACAUGCCAGUGGCGCAUGCAGCGUUGAAAGAUAUGGGUCAGGGUCACAUGCUCCCAAUGUAUUUGUGAAAAUAUGGUUUAUGAUUCUGAUCAUUUUAAGUUUCUAUAUAAAGAAUAGAUAGGAAAAUAAGAGUAAUAGAUUUACAUAAGUAUUGAAUUGUGAGUUGAUUGCAUAUUUGAUGUAGGAUGUAAUUAACCUAUAUCAUGAUAGCUUCGUGCUAUUAGACUUCAAAGUUUAGGGACCAAACAAACUCAUCCUUUUUUCUAACUAAUAAAUAUAUGUUGAUUAUGCAAUCAUGUAUAGCAGUGUUAAUUAUUUCAACACCCGCCGUUGAUAAUACGCAGAUAAUAAGGCUACGAAAUGCUUAGGCAAGACUAGAGAGGUCACUAUCAGUUCGUAUACUAUAAAUAGGUAUACAGUUUUAAAAUUUGUUUGAACAAAGUUUCAUGCUAUCUCUCUGUUAUUUCUAGCUUUCGUUGCAAUUAACACAAAGCUUCAUGUUAUCUCUCUAUCCUUGCAGUUAUAACACUCCUAUAGUCCUGUGUACAUAUUUGAUUCAACCUUCAUUCGAUUUACAAUUCCACAAUAGUUAAGCAAAUUAAUCAAUCUAAGCUUCUUUUCAAUAACACUAAGUAAUUAAUAAGAUUUCAAUUUGUGGUAUGUUUUCGUAAGUUUUUGUUUUUUUUAUGUUUAGUAUAGACUAUAGAAAAUACUAAUGUUCAAAAGUUAGAACUUAAGGGGUUAUAAGUUCGAGUUUCAAUUUCAACACAGGCGAAGAAACUAGACAUCAGAGAUGAAUGAUAAGACUUAAACCACGAGUUACAGUUGAAAUCAUCUUCUCUUAAUUACAUAAUUAACUUUGAAUUCGAUAACAAUUUCGACUAAGCCUAACACACUCCAACCAGUGCAAGAUCUCAGCGUUCGGGUCUCUCUCGAUGACCACAUUAGUCGCCGUGAUCUGCAUAUCUCCUCUGUACAAGCCGACGCGGCCACGAACGCGAGCUACGGCUCCGAUUCUGAUGUCUCUUGCUUGUCUACGAGCGGUUCUUGAGUGCAGCAGAAUCGUCGAUGAGUCGAAGCGGCUGAAGUAAGGAGAGGUGAGUUGGUUGAGCCACAUGAUGCACGUGACGCAGCCAGUGCCAUCGUCAAUGCUGAACUUGAGGAACUUCUCGGCCAUGUCGCGAGAGACGAUCGUGCCCACUGUCUCUACGCGUGAGACCCAUGAGAUACAUCCCAGGGAGAAACAGUUGGCUUCUGUCGGUGAUGGUGUCAGGCGGUGGAUGUCACGUGUCACGAGUUUCGCGUGUGUGUUUUGUUGGGAUCGAUCCAUGGCUGGACACAGACCAUAACAAUGAAGAUUAGUGCGGGAAACCGUUAAAACGAUUUUCAAAAAAAAAUAUUUAAACUGAAAAUAAUUCUACAACAAUUAUGUGUAAAAAUAAAUAUAUGUUCUAGUUUUGACAAGUAGUUUAUUCGGAUGAGAUUACUAUUGUUAUUUUUAAUGUGAUUAAAGAACGUUUUUCUGUUACUUAAUUGUCCUGCAGUCUCAGAGAUCUGAAGUUCAGCAUAGUUGUUUGAAUGAAAUUAUUGUGUAAUUUACUCUUCCUUAUUGAGAAUUAAAAAGUAGUAUAGUGUUGAGAAGAAACUAUCCCAUGAAAGUUACGAUUUUCAAAUCUUACUACAUGAUGCAGACCGGCACCCAGUAAGAUUUUCAAAGAAUUAGACACGUUUACAAUUCUACAUUACAAAAGAUCUAAAAGUCUAUAAAGACUGCAUAACUCGUUUUUGAUAGACAAACUUCUAGAAUUUCAUGAAUUAUUAAAGCUAAAAAACUCCAUUAACUUUUUUCCAGAAAAACAAAUGAUCUUGACAGUCACCUACUUCAGCAACUAGUUCAUGUCUAAUAACUACUGUAUAUUUAGUCAUCAGACUCAUUACCAUGGGUAAGGUGUUCUCAUUUAAAUCUAAAUAAACUUUGUUAUUCCACCAUUUUUUAUGUUACUUAUAGAGAUCAUCAUAAACAAUAGUGUGUGGAGUCACUGAUCAAACAAAACUCCACUGACACUGUGUAUUUUUAGCUACCCCCUUCCAGGACAUACAUUUCUGUAGAUUUGAAUAAAGAAAGGGAAUAUACAUUUUAUUUGAUUCAAGUACUAUCUAUGAAUAGAGUGGAGAUGAAUAAAUGAUGAAAGCAAGAAAACAAAAGCAGUAGAAAACUACUAAAUGGUACCAUGUCAUUUUCAACUUUACCUUUGCUUCAGAGGCAGAGAAUCUCAAAAAUUCACAAAGCCACAAUAAAUGCCUUUAGAGGUGAUUCAUGUUUCCUUUGUGUGUGUGUGUGUGUUUAUUUUUCGUGAACUCAUGUUUAAUACUUCAGUACACCAUCUUGUGACUCCAAUUUCUAAUUUUGUUAUGAAAAUGUGAAAUAAAUAAACGAGUGAAAUCAGUUUAUAAAGUUAGAGGAUUUAGAGCGAAAACUAUUUUACAGAGAAAGGGAUUCCAGCCACACUCAUACGUGGACGUACGAGGUGGAUUUAGAGUGGGUGAGGGAUGACUAUUACUUGAGAGGCAAGCCAUUAUCGUACCUAAUGGUUCAAUCCUUACUAACUUAAAGUUAAUGAAGCUUCAGUAUAAUAAAUUAUCUUUACUUCUUAUGUGAUUAGGAAGGCUAAGUAAAGUAUUUGCUUACCUCUAACUUAUUUGCGGGCCAGAGGAUCUUUUAACUUAGUCUGCAAUUUAGAAAACGAGUAAAAUUAAUAUAAGAAAUUAGACAAAAUUAGUAUAAUAAAUUAGACAUCCGAUGCGCAUCAAAGCAUAGCUAUUCCUGAACAUAAUCAUUCAAGUGAUGACCUUAGUCACUAACUUAAUGGACAACUAAUGCAAAAGGAAAAGACAGUGUGUAUGUAGGUCCAAAUUUUAAUACGGCUCACUAGAAAAGAAAGGGUCACACAUGAGCAUACUCUUAUUCUGUGACUGUACUUGUAAUUUGCAAUUAACCACACGCAAAAGUGAACAUCAAAGGAUUAGGUGAAUAUAUAUAACUUCCUUGAGACGUAACAGAAAAGCAAGUGAUAUAAAGGAGAAAAAUUCCCCUAAAGAAAAACUAACCCAAUCCCACAUCUACUAGGGAAAACAGGGGUAGGUAGAUAUGUUACCAAAUGGGGAGGAUGAUUCGGAUCUUAUGCGUCUGGUGAAGGAGCUUCAAGCUUCUCUAAUGAAGAACGAUAAGCUGGAGAAAGAAAAUCACGAGCUGCGUCAAGAAGUGGCUCGCCUACGAGCACAAGUAAGCAAUCUUAAAGCACAUGACAAUGAGAGGAAAUCAAUGUUAUGGAAGAAGUUGCAGAGCUCAUAUGAUGGUGGCAACACAGACGCAUCUAAUCUGAAAGCGCCAGAGAGUGCCAAACCCAACAUAAAGGGACAUGAGGUAAAGAAUCCAAACCUGAAGCCAAUGGUCAAAGAACAAUCUACAGCAAUAAAGCCGCCUCCGCCUCCACCACUUCCAUCAAAAACAACACUUGGAAAAAGGUCCGUGCGUCGUGCUCCAGAAGUUGUAGAGUUGUAUCGUGCCCUCACGAAGAGAGAGUCUCAUAUGGGUAACAAGAUCAAUCAGAACGGAGUUUUGUCUCCUGCGUACAACGCAAACAUGAUUGGUGAGAUUGAGAACCGCUCCAAAUAUCUUUCAGAUGUAAGUACAAGACAAAACCACAUAUGUAUUUUAUUGUGCAUCAUUGUCUAGGAUUUAAUUCUUAUCUAAAUCAUUACAAACAAUGCACGCAAACGACGUCGUAUAUGCUCGUAUCGAUUCCUUUCAUAAGACGACAACCUGCCCAACCCGACCCUAGAACCAGCAAUCUCGGCUUCUCUCCUUCUUUUGUCGGAGCCAAACCUUCGUAACGAUGUUGUACGACCUCCGCUGCUUGAACAGUCUCGCUCUGUCGCUGCUGAUGUUGCAGAGCCGUGCAGAAACGAGACGAGAGAGUGCAGGAUUCGUGGUUUCUGAACAAGUUUCCGACAGAAGAAAUUGUCGGAGAGAUCUUUACGAGGUUCUUGAUCCAAGACAUGAUUCUUUUGGUUCUUGAAUUCCCGGAAAAUUCAAGAAUGAUACAAAAAGGUUACUUCUAAGCAAGCAAUAAACACAAUGUUAUGGACCUUAAGCUGUUGGAGAAACGAACACUCUUGUUCAACUAGCCGCCUUGGUACUGUAUCAUCACUUCUAUGCGUCUGACAAAAACCUACGUGCUAGAUUUGGAAAUGACAGGUCACACUGUCUUUCUUUCUCUCCAAAAUAAAUGGAAAAUAUUCGUAUUUGGUAAUAUAUGAUUGCUGCUACGAUAUGUAUAUAAACGAAAAUGUUACGACCGUACACGGUGCCAUGUUGCUGUAGAUAUAGAUGGAGUUUCAAAAGAACUGGGAAAGAUAAUUUAUAAAUAAGUGAUUGGUGUUGAAAAUUCUAUAUUAUAUAUAAAAAAAAAAUGUUAGUAACUCAACGGAAAUUGGAGCGAGGGAAAUGACGAUAACAAACAUGUGAUUCUCUAAGACUUGUGUGGGGCGCAAGAAAAGGACAUCAGAAUAAUCGUUCAUUGUGAUAGGCCGUAUCGUCAGAGGUGAAGGAUGUAGGGAGCAGCAGCCCAAACUUAUACUAGUUAAUAAUUGUGACCCAUUCGCCCAUUCAUAUAUAGAUGAUUUAAUAUUUUGGGUUUUAUGAAAGCAGGACUAUUGUUACAAAACAACACGUUAACACAUUAACACAAGGGGAGCUUUGCCAUUUGCCAAUCAACUUUAUAAAGAAAGACGCAAAGACCAAAAAGGUCAAAAGCUUAUAUGAGAUUUACCAUGCUACUCAGGGUACAUCAUAGAAUUUACAGUUGUAGAGACAUUUUUGUGAUUCUUUAGUGCUUGUAUUGACAAUUGAAGGCAUUUAUAUGAUUUUCUUGGAAAUAAUAUAUCAUAAUAAAUUAACGUAAAAAGUUCAGAAAAACUUAUCACGCAAAACGAAAAUAAUUAUAUUACCACUUACUGACAUUGAGAUCUUCCAAGAGAUACAAGUGUUCAUAUCUUCUUAUUAAUUUAUCAGUACAUAUUAUUUUCCGAGGGUUUUAUUUGUUCAAUAUAUAAAGAGAUGAACGUGAUGAUAUAAAUGAGUAAAAUUUAAAAAUACUCGUUAAUUAUUUUCUCUUUUGUUAACAAUAAGAAACAUUUUGUAUUCUUCACCCUCUCCGACCUCCACCAUGCCUCCCACCAGGUGGGUUGUGUCUGCCGUUGGCCGAUGGCUCGUCGUAGUCAUUGGUGCUCACCAUCAUCAAUGAUCUUCCUCUCAUCACCAACUUUUCAUUUCCUGUUAUGCAUGCGCAAAUAUAUAUUAAGAAGCUUUAAUUAACUUACAACCACAGAUGAUAUGAAUAAUAUAUUACGAAAGAGUCUAUCUAUUUCCUUCGACACGCAUGUAUCAAGAAUUAAUCAACUAAUCGAAUGUAUACGAGAUAGAACCCUUUUUAUUUAGAUUAUGAUAGAUCACUAUAAUCGAUCGAAGAGACCGAGCAAUCCAACGAAGUAUUGAGGAUAUGUAAACAACUCUAAAUUAUUCUCUUUAUUGUACAUAUGUGGAUGAGAUGAUGAGCUAAACUGUUUUAAUGCUCUUCUAAUUACCUGAAAAUGAAAUACCGAUUCGAGCCGUAGAGACGAUUGAAAGUGCAAAGAAGAUGCAUAAACACAGCUUAAUAGCAAAACAAUAACCCAUCGUCCCUUGUUUCUCCUUUUCCUCGUCUUUCUCUAUCUCUCUUCACUAUUCCCUUUUUUUUUUUACUUAUCUCGUUGAAGUGAUCAACUCGACAAAAUAGGCUGUAUUAUUAAUGAGUUAGUCUGGCUAUAAAAUGAAAGAUCGAAGCACAGAACAUGUUUCGGAUGUCCAAACAACAGCUGAUUUAUAUAACACAUGGCAUCGUCUUCAUUGGAUGUAUGAAAGAGUUGACUAUUUUGCAGACAAAUCGUGGGUUUCACACUGUUAAGUUAAACAGUUAACUCAGAAGCAAAGCGAACAUGUGUUUGCAUGGGGCGUUGACUUACUUGCACCGUCCGUUACAAAAAUGUCAACGUCAAAAGUUUUGGCCAAAAGAGGAUUUGGGGUUUGGUCACUUUAUAAAAAGAAGAUUUUCUGACGAUCAUGUGGGGUUCUUGCUGUAAUCACUGGUAUCCUUUAUUUUUUGAGACUCCUUUUUUUUUGUCGACGUCAGAGCCUCAGAGGUAUUGCGUAUUCUUUUAAGUUUAAAGUUGACAUUAACAGUUUCUCUAUAAAAAUAAUACUGUACAUGUGUAUCCUCUUCAAUUUUAACUAAAACUAAUAAUUUAGUGUGAAAUUUUUUUUAAAAAAUUUGAAUAUAUAAAUAGUUUAAGAUUAAGAUGAACAUGAUAAUCAUUUUAGGAGACUUAAAUAUAUCCUGCCAAAACUAAGAUUGUGUGCCUGAAGAGUUAGGUGGCUUAAUUUUUUGAUUCAACGAAGAUCACCCUCUCCUCCUUUCUUUGUUGGGACGCUGCGGUUCGGUUCAAUAGGGUUGGAUGGUUUACGGGCUUGCAUUAUUAUUGCCUCGACAUUCCAGUUGUGCUUCCAACUUUAGGUGGUUCUUGUGAAACUGCAGGAGACGCUAGCAUCUCGGUUUCGAGGUUUGGCUGGAUUAGUGGUAUCUCGUGGUAACAUUGACCUCACAUGUAACCGGGUUUACUUCUGAGACGUAAGCCGUUUCUCUUUCUUCAAGAUGUGUUUUGUCUCUUGGUUUCGUUAGUUUUUAAAGUUUAGUUUCCUCAUCCUUUGCUUUUUAUUUAGUUUUUGGUCUUUCUGCUAUUUUAGUUUUUUAUUGUACUUUUGGUACAAAUUUAACAUUCAGACCAAAAAAAAAACUAAGUUGAGUGUUUUUUGAACUUUUAUAUUUGAGAAAAAAGUAUAAUGAGGCCUUAUAUGGGCCAUAAGAGACCGGCCCACUGAGAGAUAGGCCCAUUCAAAGCUCAAUCCCCCCGUAUAACUCCGCUCAUAAAGUCUCCUUCCCAUUUUGUAAAACCUCCCAAAUUCUCUAUCGCUCUCACACGCCGCAACGCUAGCAAACCAAUCGAAUCCACGAAGAAAACUCGAUCCGUAGAUUACUAUGGCCACCAACGAACCCGAGCACGAGCCCAGAGACGUUGAAGAAGCUGUAGCUAACGAGGACGAGGACACCGGAGCUCAGGUCGCUCCGAUCGUUAGGCUUGAGGAGGUUGCCGUCACUACCGGCGAGGAAGACGAAGACGCCGUCCUCGAUCUGUAAGUCUUACGAGAUUUGUGAUCUAAUCGAGUUUCCUAGGGUUUUAGGGACUCUUGAGAUUUGUUGAUUGAAAUGUUUUGUUUGAGUGAAUCUAAGGAAAUCGAAGCUGUAUCGGUUCGAUAAGGAGGCGAAUCAGUGGAAGGAGAGAGGUGCUGGUACUGUGAAGCUCUUGAAGCAUAAGAGCACUGGGAAGAUUCGUCUCGUUAUGAGGCAAUCGAAAACUCUCAAGAUCUGUGCUAAUCACUUCGGUAAACCUCCGUUUAGGUUUACUUUAUGUGGUUUAAGUUUUAUCUGGAUCUGUAUUUAAGUUACUCUUGGAACUGUUGCAGUUACACAGGGCAUGAAUGUUCAAGAACACGUUGGAAAUGAAAAGUCUUGUGUAUGGCACGCACGUGACUUUGCUGAUGGUGAACUCAAGGAUGAGCUUUUCUGCAUCCGGUUUGCUUCCAUUGAGAGUGAGUAUCAAUUAUGAUAACAUUCCACUUAUUGUGUUGUUUCUUGUCAAUAUAGCUAUUGGCUGAUCUUGACUUUUUGAUUACCACUUGUUUCAUUAACCUUUAUGCAUGUUGCUUUCGCUUUGGCUUAUAUAUUCUCAGUAUAUAAUUGGUAGAACUUUGAAUUUAGCUUUGUGGCUGCAUGCUUUUGGAAGAUCCCAACUCAAAGUUUUCAUUAUAGGCUGGUUUAGAGCUCUAUUGCUUUGUUUUUUUUUCCUUUCCACAAAGUAUUACACUCUUCUCACUGUGUAUUUAACCUUGGUAGUUAAAGAGUUGUCUAUGGCUGCUAGAUUAUGCUUACGUUACAUUAGAAGAGUCAAAGAUCUUGAGGUAGUUAGGGGGUGUAUAUUUUCAAUUGAAAAGUUUAGUCGGUAGUCUACAUUUUUAUAUAUUGGGGGUGUAUAUUUUCAAUUGUUUAUGUGCUAAUAAUGCCAUGAACCGAGAAGUUUUUGUAAUAAAGUCGUGUUUUCCUUGUCAGACUGCAAAGCGUUUAUGCAGAAGUUCAACGAAGUUGCUGAAUCUGAAGUAGAGAAAGAAGAGAGCAAAGAUGCCUCUGACACCGCUGGUCUUCUCGAGAAGUUGACCGUUGAAGAGACUAAAACAGAGGAGAAACCUGUGGAGAAGGAGAAGACUGAAGUGGAAGCAGAGGAGAAGAAAAAAAGCGAGCCGGAGAAAGCUGACGAAGAGAAGAAAACCGAAGAGGCUGUUCCCUCAACUUAAGCUGCAUCAAAG